UUAGACGGGGCCCGCACAAGCGGUGGAGCAUGUGGUUUAAUUCGACGCAACGCGAAGAACCUUUACCUGGACUUGACAUCGUGGGGAAUCCCUAUGAAAGUAGGGAGUGCCCUUCGGGGAGCCGUAAGACAGGUGCUGCAUGGCUGUCGUCAGCUCGUGUCGUGAGAUGUUGGGUUAACGUCCCGCAACGAGCGCCAACCCCUAUCCCUCAGUUGCCAUCAUUAAGUUGGGCACUCUGGUGGAGACUGCCGGUGUCAAACCGGAGGAAGGUGGGAUGACGUCAAGUCCUCAUGGCCCUUAUGACCAGGGCUACACACGUGCUACAAUGGCCGGUACAAAGAGUUGCGAUACCGCGAGGUGGAGCUAAUCUCAUAAAGCCGGUCUCAGUUCGGAUUGGAGUCUGCAACUCGACUCCAUGAAGUUGGAAUCGCUAGUAAUCGCGGAUCAGCAUGCCGCGGUCGAAUACGUUCCCGGGCCUU
rnacentral:rRNA from 1 species